rnacentral:rRNA from 1 species
GAUGAACGCUGGCGGCGUGCCUAAUACAUGCAAGUCGAGCGAACAGAUGAGGAGUUUGCUCUUCUGACGUUAGCGGCGGACGGGUGAGUAACACGUGGAUAACCUAUCUAUAAGACUGGGAUAACUUCGGGAAACCGGAGCUCAUAACGGAUAAUAUAUUGAACCGCAUGGUUCAAUAGUGAAAGACGGUUUUGCUGUCACCUAUAGACGGAUCCGCGCCGCAUUAGAUAGUUGGUAGGGUAACGGCCUACCAAGGCAACGAUGCGUAGCCGAGGUGAGAGAGUGAUCGUCCACCCUAGAACGGGGACGCGCACCAGGCUACUGAGAGACGCCGCAGACGGGUAUCUGCCGCAGUGGUCGGAAAUCUGACAGAGUAACGCCACGUGUGUGAUAGAGGUGUUCCGAUCGUGAAACUGUGUUAUUAGUUAAAAACCAAUGUGAGAGUGACAGAGGCGAACUUGACGGUACCUGAAGAGAAAGCCACGGCUAACUACGUG